ACGUUGCAGUGAUAGUGGUGGUGCAAUUUUAUUGGCAGCCGCCUUUGUCUUUUUGCAAGUCCCACCCAACUGCAGACUCCAUCUACGUACGGCUUGCGUUGCCCCGUCAUUCUUUCGGCUUCUGCUACACGGACUAGGUGACUGCAAUUUUCAGCGAUGCAACUGGUGCAGACUGUCGCUAGAGGGCGCACCCCCGCCUGCCUUGCAGUCUGCAGACUCGCUGUCCCUCUUGUCGUCGGAGUCUGAGAAUUCAGCUCUGCCCUCUUGAGGCCGUCAGGUAAACUCGUCACAUGGCGAAGUGGGUGCACCGCGACGUGUGGUAAACGGGACUCGGUAACACAUCCUGUACAUGUGAAAUUACGUAUUAAAUACUGUUUGAAUCUGUAUUAAAUACUGUUUGAAUCUGAA